GACGAACGCUGGCGGCGUGCUUAACACAUGCAAGUCGAACGGAAAGGCCCUGCUUUUGUGGGGUGCUCGAGUGGCGAACGGGUGAGUAACACGUGAGUAACCUGCCCUUGACUUUGGGAUAACUUCAGGAAACUGGGGCUAAUACCGGAUAGGAGCUCCUGCUGCAUGGUGGGGGUUGGAAAGUUUCGGCGGUUGGGGAUGGACUCGCGGCUUAUCAGCUUGUUGGUGGGGUAGUGGCUUACCAAGGCUUUGACGGGUAGCCGGCCUGAGAGGGUGACCGGCCACAUUGGGACUGAGAUACGGCCCAGACUCCUACGGGAGGCAGCAGUGGGGGAUAGUGCACAAUGGGCGGAAGCCUGAUGCAGCAACGCCGCGUGCGGGAUGACGGCCUUCGGGUUGUAAACCGCUUUCGCCUGUGACGAAGCGUGAGUGACGGUAAUGGGUAAAGAAGCACCGGCUAACUACGUG
rnacentral:rRNA from 1 species